rnacentral:lncRNA from 1 species
AGAUGGGUGGGGGAAAAUGAAGAAACUGCAAAGGCAGCAUUAUACACAGCGCAGCCCGUUAGGUUUUCCAUUGCUAUGAGCUUGUGAAGCACCUUUGAAAUAUGAUUUGAGCAGCACAACCUUUUAGGAACGAGUGUGGAAGCUAUCAGUAAGCAUCUCUUUGCUGAAGACAGGUGAUGUUUUAAACCAGCAUUUUGCUGAUGCAGAAAAAGUAGGAAAUCAG